AGUCGAGCGGAUCUUAUUCUUUCGGGAGUAAGGUUAGCGGCGAACGGUUGAGUAACACGUAGGCAACCUGCCCCGAAGUCGGGAAUAACGCCUCGAAAGAGGCGCUAAUACCGGAUGUGGACCUGCUUCGCAUGAAGGAGUGUCUGAAGCAGCAAUGCGCUUCGGGAUGGGCCUGCGGCCUAUCAGCUUGUUGGUGGGGUAACGGCCUACCAAGGCUCCGACGGGUAGCUGGUCUGAGAGGAUGGUCAGCCAGACAGGGACUGAGACACGGCCCUGACUCCUUUGGGGGGCAGCAAUGAGGGAUAUUGCGCAAUGGGGGAAACCCUGACGCAGCGACGCCGCGUGGGUGACGAAGUCCUUCGGGAUGUAAAGCCCUUUUGACAGGGACGAGAAUGGACGGUACCUGUCGAAUAAGCCCCGGCUAACUACGUGCCAGCAGCCGCGGUAAUACGUAGGGGGCGAGCGUUGUCCGGAUUUACUGGGCGUAAAGCGCGUGUAGGCGGGAGAUUAAGUUGGGUGUGAAAGCCCGGGGCUCAACCCCGGGAUGCCGCCCAAGACUGGUCUCCUUGAGGACGGAAGAGGGGAGUGGAAUUCCUGGUGUAGCGGUGAAAUGCGUAGAGAUCAGGAGGAACACCCGUGGCGAAGGCGGCUCCCUGGUCCGUUUCUGACGCUGAGACGCGAAAGCGCGGGGAGCGAACGGGAUUAGAUACCCCGGUAGUCCGCGCCGUAAACGAUGGUCACUAGGUGUGCGAGGUAUCGACCCCUCGCGUGCCGCCGCUAACGCAGUANGUGACCCGCCUGGGGAGUACGGCCGCAAGGUUGAAACUCAAAGGAAUUGACGGGGGCCCGCACAA
rnacentral:rRNA from 1 species